rnacentral:rRNA from 1 species
UACGUAGGGUGCAAGCGUUGUCCGGAAUUAUUGGGCGUAAAGGGCGCGUAGGCGGUGUGUCAAGUCAGGCGUGAAAGCCCCGGGCUCAACCUGGGAACCGCGCUUGAGACUGGCACGCUCGAGUUCGGGAGAGGAUGGUGGAAUUCCCAGUGUAGAGGUGAAAUUCGUAGAUAUUGGGAAGAACACCGAUGGCGAAGGCAGCCAUCUGGACCGACACUGACGCUGAGGCGCGAAAGCGUGGGGAGCAAACGGG